rnacentral:rRNA from 1 species
GAUGAACGCUGGCGGCGUGCCUAAUACAUGCAAGUCGAGCGAACGGACGAGAAGCUUGCUUCUCUGAUGUUAGCGGCGGACGGGUGAGUAACACGUGGAUAACCUACCUAUAAGACUGGGAUAACUUCGGGAAACCGGAGCUAAUACCGGAUAAUAUUUUGAACCGCAUGGUUCAAAAGUGAAAGACGGUCUUGCUGUCACUUAUAGAUGGAUCCGCGCUGCAUUAGCUAGUUGGUAAGGUAACGGCUUACCAAGGCAGCGAUGCGUAGCCGACCUGAGAGGGUGAUCGGCCACACUGGAACUGAGACACGGUCCAGACUCCUACGGGAGGCAGCAGUAGGGAAUCUUCCGCAAUGGGCGAAAGCCUGACGGAGCAACGCCGCGUGAGUGAUGAAGGUCUUCGGAUCGUAAAACUCUGUUAUUAGGGAAGAACAUAUGUGUAAGUAACUGUGCACAUCUUGACGGUACCUAAUCAGAAAGCCACGGCUAACUACGUGCCAGCAGCCGCGGUAAUACGUAGGUGGCAAGCGUUAUCCGGAAUUAUUGGGCGUAAAGCGCGCGUAGGCGGUUUUUUAAGUCUGAUGUGAAAGCCCACGGCUCAACCGUGGAGGGUCAUUGGAAACUGGAAAACUUGAGUGCAGAAGAGGAAAGUGGAAUUCCAUGUGUAGCGGUGAAAUGCGCAGAGAUAUGGAGGAACACCAGUGGCGAAGGCGACUUUCUGGUCUGUAACUGACGCUGAUGUGCGAAAGCGUGGGGAUCAAACAGGAUUAGAUACCCUGGUAGUCCACGCCGUAAACGAUGAGUGCUAAGUGUUAGGGGGUUUCCGCCCCUUAGUGCUGCAGCUAACGCAUUAAGCACUCCGCCUGGGGAGUACGACCGCAAGGUUGAAACUCAAAGGAAUUGACGGGGACCCGCACAAGCGGUGGAGCAUGUGGUUUAAUUCGAAGCAACGCGAAGAACCUUACCAAAUCUUGACAUCCUUUGACAACUCUAGAGAUAGAGCUUUCCCCUUCGGGGGACAAAGUGACAGGUGGUGCAUGGUUGUCGUCAGCUCGUGUCGUGAGAUGUUGGGUUAAGUCCCGCAACGAGCGCAACCCUUAAGCUUAGUUGCCAUCAUUAAGUUGGGCACUCUAAGUUGACUGCCGGUGACAAACCGGAGGAAGGUGGGGAUGACGUCAAAUCAUCAUGCCCCUUAUGAUUUGGGCUACACACGUGCUACAAUGGACAAUACAAAGGGCAGCGAAACCGCGAGGUCAAGCAAAUCCCAUAAAGUUGUUCUCAGUUCGGAUUGUAGUCUGCAACUCGACUACAUGAAGCUGGAAUCGCUAGUAAUCGUAGAUCAGCAUGCUACGGUGAAUACGUUCCCGGGUCU